rnacentral:rRNA from 1 species
GACGAACGCUGGCGGCGUGCCUUACGCAUGCAAGUCGGACGGGCGUCGUCGUGAGGCGGCGCGACCGUGGCGGACGGGUGCGGAACACGUACGUGACCUGCCCGGUAGUGGGGGAUAACCCCUCGAAAGGGGGGCUAAUACCGCAUGUGGUCGGUGGGCUGCGGCCCAUCGAGUAAAGCCUGGUUGAGAAGCCGGGUGCUACCGGAGGGGCGUGCGGCGGAUUAGCUUGUUGGUGGGGUAACGGCCUACCAAGGCGACGAUCCGUAGCUGGUCUGAG